ensembl:snoRNA U3 Small nucleolar RNA U3
UAGACUAUACUUUCAGGGAUCAUUUCUAUAAUUUGUUACUAGAGAAGUUUCUCUGAAUGUGUAGAGCACCGAAGACAAGGAUCCCCUCUCUCGCCACUCCUAUUCACUCAUAAGUGAGAGUUGAACAAUCAGA